UACGUAGGGGCAAGCGUUGUCCGGAAUCAUUGGGCGUAAAGCGCGUGUAGGCGGUUCCGGUAAGUCCGCUGUGAAAGUCGGGGGCUCAACCCUCGGAUGCCGGUGGAUACUGUCGGGCUUGAGUACGGGAAGAGGCGAGUUGGAAUUCCUGGUGUAGCGGUGAAAUGCGCAGAUAUCAGGAGGAACACCAAUUGCGAAGGCAGCUCGCUGGGACGUUACUGACGCUGAGACGCGAAACGUGGGGAGCAAACAGG
rnacentral:rRNA from 1 species